rnacentral:rRNA from 1 species
CCCUUAGAUGUUCUCGGCCGCACACGCGCUACACUGAAAGAGGCAACGUGUUUGCCUGAUUCGAAAGAAUUGGGUAACCCCCUAAUCUCUUUCGUGCUGGGGAUUGAGGUUUGCAAUUAUCCUUCAUGAACGAGGAAUUCCCAGUAAGUGCGAGUCAUUAUCUCGCGCUGACUACGUCCCUGCCCUUUGUACACACCGCCCGUCGCUACUACCGAUUGAAUGAUUUAGUGAGGACUUCGGACUGAGUCCAAUGCGGCUUUCGGGCUGCGUUGGUAUUUCGGAAAGAUGUCCAAACUGUAUCAUUUAGAGGAAGUAAAAGUCGUAACA